rnacentral:lncRNA from 1 species
AGAUGCAGAUGUUGGCGAAACAAAACAGCGGAGCGAGUACCAGUGGCCAGAAAUGUAAUGGAACUACAAGUGAGGAGCAAGGAACGCCGUGAGCACGGAAGCAGGGUGCAUCUGGUGAACGAAACGGGGCGUGCACGUAUGGUGCUCCCCCUUGGGAUCAAUACUUACUGAUUGUGGCUUUUGUAAGACUGUAUGAUGCUCUGCAACUGCAAGCUUGGAUCUGCCAACCUGUAGCGUCCCUUGAGGGGAUUAGUCCCAUCCUCCCCUGGUCUGUUGCGAUACGCAGCCUACCUAUAAUGGCAAAAAGUUUGGUGCUGUAACUGAUCAGAAUGAAUGCUUGACAGAUCUGAAUGCAGUAGGCAGUUGGUAGUUCGAUCUAGCAAGCUGAUGGUUAUGAUUUAGCAGGUGCAAGUUAAUAGUUCUUGAGGUCUGUUUAUGGCAUCAAUAAUAAUUGGAAUUCUAUUUUGAAAAUACAUAUUGGAAUUUUACCAAGGUUUGUGUUGCUGUUAGGUAAUCUAGUUUAUUUUUGGUUUAUCAGAUAAUUUGUUUUCCUCCAUGUAAGUAGGAGCUGCUCAUCCUGUUGGAGCAGACCGAGUCUUUCGCUCUCGCCACGCUGCGUCGUGAGGCAGAGCGCGUCUAGCGUCGUGUGCGUCGGCCGUGGGAUGGCACGGUCACGUUCCGGCAGAAUAGCUGCCGUGAUCUUCCUUGAGGUAGUUUAAAUACCAAUCAAAUAAACAGAAAACGCUGCUGGUUCUUUCUGCAGCACCAAAACGAUCUUGUGCUGGUGAGUUUGAGUGCACGAGUUCUAGCUAACAGUUGCCACCAUAGCCUUGGCAUGAGAUGUCUGUGCUGAACUGCUGAUGCAUUGCAUACCUGUGUUGGAGGAGCUCUUGUGCGUGCGUGGCUGGACACGUGGACGUUGGGCUGGGCCGGCUUGCUGUUUGAGUGUUUGGUGCUCAUUGGCCAUAUUCUGGUCUUGUACAGAUUCUCUAUACGAUGACCGCAGAUUGCGUCUAAUUAAAACAAAAAUGAUCUCGCAAGAACUGAGGAACCUAUCGCUGUUCCUGACGGGGAACCAGAUGCGAUGUGUUCGUGUAAACUUAGGCAGCAAAAGCAUAUACCCUGCGGGCUGCAAAUAUUUUUUUUGUACUAGGAGAAUAGUAAAGAUCUGGAUUGUGCUUGCGCAAACCUGGAGAUGGAUCGUCUCGGAGGAGGAGAAAUUGCGGUUGGGGAUUUCGAAGAACCUCGCUCACCUAAGCCUGCAAACUCGCCAUCAACCCGCAAGGAGCGCUCGUCGGGAAGCGGCCGGCGGCGGCGACGCGCGCGCCUGCAGCACGCGGCAGAGCGAGCCGUCGAUCGAUCGGCGGAGCCCACGGCCACGGGAGCGAUGGAGCCGCCGGUCCAUUUGUAUGUGGGCGGGGGGCGGCGAGUGGUGGCCCGGCCCAACGAGUUGCGGGGCGACACCUCACGGGGCCGAUGGACGCGACGCGACUCGAUGCCCCCGGCGCUUUCUCGUGUCCGCCAGGUGCCGUCGCGUGCUUUUGGCGCCACCGUUCGUUCUGGAGAAAAAUUCUGUGCGCGCGACACCGCCCAGAUGCCCGACACGCGUCCCCAAGGCCUCAUCCGUCUGCUCCUUCCGCCGAUCUGCAGAGCCGAGCCCUGCGAUCGAGCCGCCGUAAUCAUCGUCGAGUGGAGAAUUCUGCCGCGGCACAAUUGGAUUUACUAGUUUUGCAUUGUGUCUGCUUCCAUCGCUGGAGGAUUCUACCGCCGGGCAAUUAAACGCAGCCGCGAUGGGACUUGGGACUAUGAUCCAUAUCCUCUGCCAUCACCUCCCACGGCCGAGCUUGAUACCGUCGCCGUGAUUGCAUCCAUAUAUACGAUGAUUGAAGCCAUGGCACCUCAGGAUUGCUGGCCUGCUGGUUUGUUGCAGCUUGCCAUUCACACGCCGAUCUGCCGCUCGCGGACGAGCGCUGUGCCGCACUGCUCAACGACACCGACACGUUAUCUCUCCUCCUUCGCCGCUCCACUACUGUAAAUCCAGUUGGUAAGCCACAUGUUCCCGAAGGAUCAACCGGGAUUAGAUAAAAUGUUCCCCUCUAUCAUUCAAUCAGGAAUAAAGAUCACCUUUAGUACCGAUUGGUAUUACCAACCGGGAUUAAAAAAGUUAAAAAAUAUAAAAAAGUGGGCCGGCGGCGCCACUCCACCGGCCUCUACCUUUGCCCGCCUCUGCUCCGCCUCCGCCCACGCUCGCCCGUGCCGCACACACCGCUCGCCCGCCCGCCGGCUGCCAGCCUGCCCGCAGCCCGGCCGCGCCAGCUCGGCCCGCCGCCUCCAACUGGCUGGCGCUGCUCCCCCGCGCGCCACUGCCUUGCACUCGCCUCGCUGCCGCUCCUCACUGCUAGUGAGGGGCGAGCAGAGGGGGAAGGGGAGGGGCAGCAGAGGGGGAGGGGGUGGAAGAGGAAGGCAGAGAAGAGAGGGAGGGGAGGGGGCGGUGGUAGCGUAGAGAGGAGAGGGGAGGAGAGGAGGAGCCAGGGAGGGAGAGAGGAAGCGCCCGGAAGAAAGCAGGGAGAGGAGGAGGAGAGCGCUGCCUGCGCGAGGAUAAGGGAGGAAGGAUGAGGAGAAGAUAAGAUGGAGAGAGAGAGAGGGAGGCCGCAUGGAAAGGACGUUUUGUCCCGGUUGGAGCCACCAACUGGGACUAAAGGCCCCUCUUUAGUCCCGGUUGGAAUUAACAAUCGGGACUAAAGAUUUAGUCCUGGUUGGUAAUUCCAACCCAGACUAAAGGGGGGAGCCUUUAGUCCCGGUUGGUGUUUCCGAUCGGGACAAAACCUUCCCGUUCCACUAGUCGUUCCAACCGGGACUAAACCUCCCCCUUCGCUGGCUCAUUUUUAACCCGGGACUAAAGGUACUAUAGUCCCGGGUCCAAAGUCAACCAGGAUAAAAAAAGGGUUGGAUGGAAGGUGAAUUCUCUAGUAGUGCUCGCUCGCUCGAACAACCUCGAUGCUUGCUAACGUUGCUGCUAUUGCUCGCUCCUCGCCCUUCUUGCUACCUGCGGCGCCUCCAUUUGAUUGAAACUGGCCCUUAGUUUUAUUAACAACCACCAUGACUUCAUCGACGACCGCCACAGCUUCAUCGACAAUCAUCCAUGAAUGAAGCUAGUCACUUUUUUAAUAAUUAUUUUUCUCUGACUUAUUUUUAGCGUGGUUGGCCAAUGCGCCGACUACUUAUUUGUGUACGCCUCUCGACGGGAAUUACCUUCAGAGCUACACUUCGCCGAUUACUCCUGGGGUACGUUGACCACCACCACAGGCUUGGUACACCGAAUUACGGAGGCUAUAGCCACGGGUUUGGUGUAUUGAGUGCUGGAGCUUCACACUGGCUACACCCUAAGGAGGCACAAAUCAUGUGCGCAGCAAUACACGUUCUCCUCGCCAAAAGGCAGAAAAGUCUCAACGACUACUUUACGCGCAAUCGCACAGUCUUUUUUUGCAACAACAACUAUUUAUUUUCAAUGUCUCCUCUUAGCGGUGGCUAAUCUACUCGAGCAGAACACGCCUUAAUCCGUGAAAGUCUUGGAUCUUCUGUCAUGCCUAAUCGCUAGGACGCAUACAUGAGACAAAGAUCUUAGACACAUAGCAGUAGUGACAAUACGCGUACACAAGGUAAAAAUCUCACACGUAGUGGCAACGGCUAAACACGGAUUGAGAGCCUAAAUGCAACAGGCUAACUACUUGGGAGAAAUAUGACCGAAACAAGAGCAUGAUAAAUAACAUUUACAUUUCAUCACUAAAUAAUUUCAGUAGUUCUAAAUUUUUACAUUAUGCUACAUAAUGUUUACAUCUCUAGGUCAAGUUUCGGCGACGACUCUUUAAGACGCUCAACGUACCCAAAAUGGCUCCGCUAGCUCUCAGGCUCGAGGACUAAGCGCCAAUUACUACUCGGAAUAUCUACGAUCACCGGCGACCGGUGCUGCUCCAGCAUCCACGACAUCAUUAGCGUCACAACGAGGGAGGUCGCGGUGGCCAGCGCCCCGAUCACCGGCGGGCCCGCCACCGCAGGAGUGAUGCUGAUGGGACCCGCGGGCAUAAAGCACCACCACUCGCGCCCGCCGAUGGGCAUGUACGGGCACGUGCCCAUGGGCCACCCCGUCGCCGGGCACAUGGCGGCGGGCCACGGGCGGCGGCGUGACACUGGCGCGUGACACUGGCGCCGGACGAAUCGCCAGGGGCGCACGGGCAUGGUGGGGGUGGGACACGGACUCGCGAUGAAAGAGCAGGGGAAACGGACACCUAGCUUAAAGGGGAAUUCAGAAAGGUGGCCGGCAGGUGGGAGGCUUAAGUGCAAAAUAAUUUCACCUCUAAUCCUAUCCAUUGGAUUAGUAUCACGUGACCUGUCACUUAAUAUAAAGGUUGCACGGUUCCCUUUUUUACGUCGUCCAUUCAUAUUUUUGCCUGAAUAAAUUCUGAUUUCGUGAAGAAAAAAAAUUAUGCCCACGGUGAUUUCGUCUAGAUAAGAAAAAUGGUGUCCUGAGAACAUAGAAAUCACAGUGCCCCGUCAGGGAACCAGCAUGAUGCCAUGCGUGUAAUAAACUGUAAGGCAAAUCAGCAAAUCCGUAACCCCGGGGUCACCGGAUACAGAUUAUUCAGUAAGAAGAAGAACAAAGAACUGGAUGCAUUUGUCUUUUGCAUCGACGUCGUAACCUAAAGAUGGUCCGGAGGAGAGAGGUUGGGGGGAAUCGAUCGAGAAGAACCUCGCUCUUGACUCACCUGGCUGGCCUGCUCACAACCCGCCUUUCAACCGCAGGAGCGAUCAGAUCGCGGUCCUGAGCUCCUGACCGAAACCGGUGCCGCCGCCGUGAAGCGCGCUGCCGGGCUGCGGACCGGAAGAAACCCGCCGCCGCGUCGUCAAGACGCGGCGGGCGGCAACGCACCCUGCAUCCGGCGCCGGAGAGCCGACCGAACCCCGCCGCGGCGGCGGCGGCCGCCACGGGACAGCACGAGCC